rnacentral:misc_RNA from 1 species
UCCGGUUUGUCACCGGCAGUCUCCUUAGAGUGCCCACCAUUACGUGCUGGUAACUAAGGACAAGGGUUGCGCUCGUUGCGGGACUUAACCCAACAUCUCACGACACGAGCUGACGACAGCCAUGCAGCACCUGUGUUCGAGUUCCCGAAGGGCUGCCGUGUUUCCACGACAUUCCCGUGCAUGUCAAGCCUUGGUAAGGUUCUUCGCGUUGCGUCGAAUUAAACCACAUGCUCCACCGCUUGUGCGGGCCCCCGUCAAUUCCUUUGAGUUUCAACCUUGCGGUCGUACUCCCCAGGCGGAUAACUUAAUGCGUUAGCUGCGCCACCAAAAGCCCAUGGCCCCUGACAGCUAGUUAUCAUCGUUUACGGCGUGGACUAC